rnacentral:lncRNA from 1 species
GGACAGCGACACACACCUGUAACCCCAGCAGUCAGGUGGCUGAGGGAGGGUGAUCAAGAGCCCAGUCUGAGUUGUACUGAGACCAUCUCAAAACACAAAAAUGGGCUGGAAUGAUGGCUCAGUGGUUAAGGGUACUGGCUGCUUUCCUGGAGGUGGUGUCACACACCUUUGAAUCCCAGCACUUGGGAGGCAGGGACAGGCAGAUUUCUGAGUCUGAGCCUACAGAGUGAGUUCCAGGACAGCCAAGGCUACAUAGAGAAACCCUGUCUCAAAAAAAUCCAACCAACCAACCAACCCCAGCUCCACCCCCAGCAGAACCAACAAGAGUACUGGCUGCUCUUUUACAGCAUUAGGCUCAACUCUUGGCACCACAGGGCAGCUCACAACCAUUUGUAAUCCUAGUUCCAGGGCAUCUAACAUCCUUUUCUGGCCUCUCCAGAUACCAGGCAAGUCUGUGGUAUAUAGACAGAUAUGUAAGCUACGACUCAUAUACAUAACAAACAGACAAAGAAACAAACAGACUAGGUAUUCACAGGGUAUACCUCAGUGGAGAGUGCAAGGCGCCCCGGAUUUAAUCCUUGGUACCGCCAAAAAACAAAGCAAGAAAGGAAAAGACUGACACUCAAAUGUUUAUUUAUUCAUUCAUUUCUUUCUCUUUGAGACAGAGCCUUGUGUGGCCCAUGCUGGCCUCAAACAUAAUAGUUGAGGAUGACUUUGUACUUCUGAUCUUAACGCUACCUCCCAGAUGCUGGUAUUUUAGGAAUGUGUUUUAGUUAGGCUUUUAUUGCUGUGAAGAGACACCAUGACCAAGGCAACUCUUAUAAAGGCA